AGCAGCCGCGGUAAUUCCAGCUCCAAUAGCGUAUAUUAAAGUUGUUGCAGUUAAAAAGCUCGUAGUUGAAUUUCGGGGUUAGUAGGUUGGUCAUGCCUCUGGUAUGUACUGGUCUCACUGAUUCCUCCUUCCUGAUGAACCUUAAUGCCAUUUAUUUGGUGUUUUGGGGAAUUUGGACUGUUACUUUGAAAAAUUAGAGUGUUUAAAGCAAGCUAACGCUUGAAUACAUUAGCAUGGAAUAAUGAAAUAGGACGUUCGAUCCUAUUUUGUUGGUUUCUAGGAUUGACGUAAUGAUUAAUAGGGAUAGUUGGGGGCAUUAGUAUUCAAUUGUCAGAGGUGAAAUUCUUGGAUUUAUUGAAGACUAACUACUGCGAAAGCAUUUGCCAAGGAUGUUUUCAUUAAUCAAGAACGAAAGUUAGGGGAUCGAAGACGAUCAGAUACCGUCGUAGUCUUAACCAUAAACUAUGCCGACUAGGGAUCGGAUGAUGUAAUUUUU
rnacentral:rRNA from 1 species